UUGAUACUAAAUAGACAUGAAAUUCAAAAUUGAUUAACUAAACUUCUAGUUUAAGUAUGACCAAACAUUAAUUGACAUAUACCUUGUCUUCCAAGGUCAAGAGUCUAAUCUCUCUCCAUGGAGCUGCUGCAGCUGCACAUUUGUUUACUUUUCUUUUCACUUUCCCUUUUUUAGUGUAUAUAUAUAUUUUUAUAUUUGGAUGGUGUAGUUGAAUUGAAAUGAUUCCAUGCUUGACUAAAAGUGAUGAAACAGUGGCUGAUGAAGGCAAGCAAGACUAGGCCUGAAAGUUUCUUGUGUUAUGCAUUGUUUGGACAAGGAAAGAACCCAAAGCUUAAAAAAAGCUUACAGCUUUCUCUCCAAUUAAACUGGCAGCCAUUGCAGAGACCCAUCAGAACCCUUUCCUGCUUCCCCUUUCCUUGCCAUGGUUUGUCUGGGAAUAUUGUUUGGCUGCAAAAGAUCUCGCACCCCAACAGACUAUCUCCUCUCAGCUUUACUCCUCAUAGUCAUUCUUUCCUCUCUUCGUCUCCUCUGCUACCUCGUUUCUCGCUUCUUGAAACGACGACGCAACAACCAGCAUCCCGAUCCCACCUCCGAAGUUCAACCACAGACCGAUGUUGCUCAUCUUCAACAACCAACACCUAUGCCAGACAACAAGGUUCUUACCCCUGCUGAUGUUCUUCCUCUUGCUGCCUUCUCAAGAAAGUAAAGCAUGUCUCGGGUUGUCUUCGCCUCCGGGGGAGAAGUUAUGUAGAAAGAGAGAAGAGAGGUGCAAGUGCAAACAGAUUCCAUAGGAUUCACUCUUUUACUUUAAGAGGGAGGCAAUAACAAUUAACAUUUAAACACACAACACUCAGUGUCUUUCAGUGAAAUUCUUUAUCUACCAAGCAGGAAAUUGUUAGCAUUU